CCUACGGGAGGCAGCAGUGAGGAAUAUUGGUCAAUGGUCGGACGACUGAACCAGCCAAGCCGCGUGAGGGAGGAAGGUACAGAGUAUUGUAAACCUCUUUUGUCAGGGAACAAAGGCGGGGACGUGUCCCCGGACGAGUGUACCUGAAGAAAAAGCAUCGGCUAAACCCGUGCCAGCAGCCCCGGUAAUACGGAGGAUGCGAGCGUUAUCCGGAUUUAGUGGGUUUAAAGGGUGCGCAGGAGGCAUGUUAAGUUAGCGGUAAAAGCCCGGGGCUCAACCCCGGCCCGCCGUUGAAACUGGCGGUCGCGAGAUGGAGAGAAGUAUGCGGAAUGCGCGGUGUAGCGGUGAAAUGCAUAGAUAUCGCGCAGAACUCCGAUUGCGAAGGCAGCAUACCGGCGCCACACUGACGCUGAGGCACGAAAGCGUGGGUAUCGAACAGGAUUAGAUACCCCUGUAGUC
rnacentral:rRNA from 1 species